rnacentral:lncRNA from 1 species
AACACAUAAGGUCUCCAUACCCCGUUCGGUAUGAGAGACCACAAUUCUGGUAGGGUUCCCUACGGACCCAGUCCGUCCACCAUCUCCCAGGAUAUCUAGUCAGGCUGACCACAUUAUACAAUUAUCAAUUUACAUAACCUUUCAUUCCCCUUUUUCUCAGUCAGCAUCAUCAAAUCACACACAAACAAGCAACCAGUAAUUCAUGCCAAACAAGCCAACAUACAACAUCGGGUUCUCAGUCAUUCAACCCAUAAUCAAUAAAACAGUAAUUUAUGCACACGAAACUAUGAAAUGAGAACAUCAGACAUCAUACUGCAUUUAAAACUGUUAAAAUAGAACAAACAACAACUGACCGACAAAUACACCAGACUCGGGCUCCAUUAGCGACCUUAAACAAUUUCACACAUCUACUGAUUCAUGAAACACCAUUUUAUCAUUUAUUGAACUUUAAUACCGUGAUAAGAAAUAGGGUGAGGGGUCCUUACUUGUUUCGGGGUCUGAAUACGGCUCUACAGUGCGCCUACAAGCUGUCCCAAAUUUUCUCUGAAUUCUUCCCAGGGAACUGAAACGCACUACUGGUACCUGCACGUGUCCCAAAAAAUUCCAAAUUAGACCCAGGGCCCCUUUCGGCCAAUAUCGUAAUUCCGGCACGGCGGCUCCGUCGUAGGCCGAAUUCGGCCACACUUGCAUCGGUCCCUGCGAUAAAACAACCCUAGGGCCCUCGGGGGGCCAAAAAAUUACAAAAAAUUGAAGCUUACCGGCGGCGGUGCUCUCGGGUGCGGCGGCUCUCCGGUGAGGUUCGUGUUUUGGUGAUUUGGCUCUGAUCAACCUGUAGAGAAAAGAAUGGUGAUCACGGUGAUAUAAAAAUUGUAUCAAACGGAGGCCGGGGAAGGCUUCGUCGGAGGAAAAAAUCGAGGAGGGGCGCGGCAGCGCCGCUGGAUUUUGGCCGUGUUUUCUGGCCGUUUGGCCGGGAUUUUGGCUAUGAUUUGGCCACUGGGGAACUCAGCGUGGAAAAACGAGCAGGGGGUAUGAAAUUUACCUCGAUCGGUGGUCGAAAAACUCCCCGGUGCGGCGGUGGGUGGCGGCGGCCGUCUCCUCCGGCGUCUGGUUCGUCUUCUCCGGUGAGGGCAGGCGGCUAGGGUU